AGCUACAUUGUCUGCUGGGUUC
rnacentral:ncRNA from 3 species